GGUGGCUCAGUGGUAGAGUGCUUGCCUUGCAUGCAUGAAGCCCUGGGUUCAAUUCCUAAGCACCA
rnacentral:tRNA from 1 species